rnacentral:sRNA from 1 species
UAACAAUGCCUGCGAUCACCUCGAUGCACAAAACGUGCCAGCGUUUCGAGGCUCCGGAACCUCAGCUUUGUUCUGCAAGGAUACCUGCGGGACAGACCUGUUCCUCUGCGGCGACGCGGAGGAAGAAGGCGGAAACCGCCAACACGACAGCGGAGGCGCAAAGCAGAUCGCACGGAAAAGUACGUGACUUCCGCAUGCAGCAACAGACGCCUGCCGUGCAGGAAUAACCCUUGCGCCGUCCGCCGGCAACGGGCGAAAACGCGAGGGGAUGCCAAAACAAUGCAUGAAGCCUUGACCCGGAGAGAUCCGGGAAUAACGGAAGUAAACGGUUAAAGUAGCCGAAUGGCUGAAAAUGAGGCUGAUUCGUCGAAUUUCUGAAAGGCCGGUGAAAUUUGCGGGUAAACACUCCCGCACGGGUUCUGGCGAAAGCCGGGGCAGGAAGCAUCAGAUCAGCUGCCUGAUGCUCAGACCUGUCUCCCCGGUGACCGAAUAUCCGUGAAGAAAUGUGUAUGUACGGCGAAGGCCGGAUCGCGGGUGUUGUU